CCAUCACAAUGGGGACAUGUAUUCAACUGGUGGUACAAAUACUCGUUGAUACAUGGUGGAGUUAUGAGCAUGUGAAAUCUAGUUUUUGGUACAUGGAUAGCUUUUGUUCAGAUGAUCAUGGUGGAGUUGUCUAUAAGCAGAAUCCAGUUUUUGGUAUAAGAAUAUUUUUGUCUACAUGAUGGUUGUUUGGAUGAAUAGCAAGAUCAGAUAUUUUGGAAUUUUUAAUUUACA